rnacentral:rRNA from 1 species
GAUGAACGCUGGCGGCGUGCCUAAUACAUGCAAGUCGAGCGAACAGGCGAGGAGCUUGCUCCUCUGACGUUAGCGGCGGACGGGUGAGUAACACGUGGAUAACCUACCUAUAAGACUGGGAUAACUUCGGGAAACCGGAGCUAAUACCGGAUAAUAUAUUGAACCGCAUGGUUCAAUAGUGAAAGACGGUUUUGCUGUCACUUAUAGAUGGAUCCGCGCCGCAUUAGCUAGUUGGUAAGGUAACGGCUUACCAAGGCAACGAUGCGUAGCCGACCUGAGAGGGUGAUCGGCCACACUGGAACUGAGACACGGUCCAGACUCCUACGGGAGGCAGCAGUAGGGAAUCUUCCGCAAUGGGCGAAAGCCUGACGGAGCAACGCCGCGUGAGUGAUGAAGGUCUUCGGAUCGUAAAACUCUGUUAUUAGGGAAGAACAAUGUGUAAGUAACUAUGCACGUCUUGACGGUACCUAAUCAGAAAGCCACGGCUAACUACGUG